CGGAUGUAGCCAAGUGNAUCAAGG
rnacentral:tRNA from 1 species